UCGGGGGGAACAGGGCCGGGAAGGCUCGAGGCGGGCCGCGGGAACUGCACAGCCCACCUCCACCGCUCAUCCGCUUAAAGCCCGCGCCCCCAGCCCCCGGCGCCUGCGCUCGGUGAGGGGAAUGCCUGCGAGAGCCGCGGAGGAGAGUUGGUGAAAAAACAAGAGUCUGGCGCCUGCAUCACAGCAUAGCUCAGAAGACGCCUCCCAUGACCCCCUCGAGAGCGCUAUGGCCGAGAGGCCCAGCCGUGACACCCAGCCACACUUCCCAGCCACAGGGCUAGAGUUCCGUUUGGGCGGAAGAGACACCAGGCCUUUCCAGAAUCCGGUCUAAGGCUGUCUUCCAGGAUCUGCUGUCAAGGCUUAGUCCUCAGGGAACAGCUGCUGGCAAAAGGAGUUCUAGAAUUCAUUUUUCAUAUUUGAAAGUGAGAAACUAUUUAGUUGGGAAUGGUCUGGAAAUCCAUGGUUGCCUCAGUCCUGACCGACUGUGUGAACUUGGGCGGUCCCCCACCUCUCUCUGGGCCGGUCUUGGAAAUGCUGGGAAUAAGGUUGCCCCAUGAGAAGUAAAUGAAUCCGAAGGCUCCCUGGCUCAGGACACAGCUCUCUGGCCUGGUCAUCAGAGCUCUUCACCUGUCCAAAGGAAGAACGCAGCAACCCAGGAGUGAGGCAUCCAGAGAAAAGCCAAGGUUCAGAGAAGCUCACUUUGGCCGUGCGCCCAUCCAGCACAGUCCAGAAGGUCCCCAGAGGCUGCUCCGGAGACUAUGCUCACCCGCCUUCUGUGGCCACACCUCACCUGGUCUUCGUUUGCUCCAUCCUCUGUGGCUCUGUCUGGGAUAAUUCUCUCCAAGCGGGGUCAGCCCCCUGGGAGCAGGCAGCUAACGAGCUUCAGAUGUCCAGGCCAAACUGCUCAUGGAAGGCGGAUGCUGAGAUGCUCGCGCUGAUUAAGAACACCGGCCAGUGGUGGUGGCUCAGAGAGAUCACCUCCUCUUCCCUUCACAGGGUACUUAACUCCCAACUUGGAAGCAGCAGGUGCCAGUGUUUCACCCCAGAAACCCUGGCCGGGGUGUCUAUUUCAAGGAAGUCUGGAAAAGGGCAGGGAGGCUGGAGGACAAAGGCAUUUUGAUUGUUGGGGAAUUUAUAUCUUUUUCUUUCAAAGUUUUUCUGGGUCCAGAGCUGGUCUUUCCCCUGAGGUAGCAGCAGGGAUGGGAAGGGAGGCGGGCAAGCUGCUUGUUGAUGGCCAGCCCUGUGAAUGCUGCGGGCUGAGCACAAAUGCCAUCUUCUCCAACCCUCACAGGAACCCUGUAAGGUCAGGACUGUCAUCAUCCACUUUACAAUGAGAAAAGGUGAUCUAAAGAUCAGAGAGGUGAGGCAAUUUGUCCAAGGUCACACAGCCUCUGAAUGGCCAAAUGAGGUUUUCAGCUCACCUCUGUCAGAGUCUACACUCUUCCCUACAGCAAACUGAGAUGUUUCUAGAAGACCAAGGUGGUAUAUUAUGGUCUCAAAACUGCAUGAAUGGGGCUUCCCUGGUGGCGCAGUGGUUGAGAAUCUGCCUGCCAAUGCAGGGGACACGGGUUCGAGCCCUCGUCUGGGAAGAUCCCACAUGCCGCGGAGCAACUAGGCCCGUGAGCCACAACUACUGAGCCUGCGCGUCUGGAGCCUGUGCUCCGCAACAAGAGAGGCCGCGAUAGUGAGAGGCCCGCGCACCGCGAUGAAGAGUGGCCCCCGCUUGCCACAACUAGAGAAAGCCCUCGCACAGAAACGAA